UACGUAGGUGGCAAGCGUUGUCCGGAAUUAUUGGGCGUAAAGCGCGCGCAGGCGGUCCUUUUAAGUCUGAUGUGAAAGCCCACGACUCAACCGUGGAGGGUCAUUGGAAACUGGGGGGACUUGAGUGCAGGAGAGAAGAGUGGAAUUCCACGUGUAGCGGUGAAAUGCGUAGAGAUGUGGAGGAACACCAGUGGCGAAGGCGACUCUUUGGCCUGUAACUGACGCUGAGGCGCGAAAGCGUGGGGAGCAAACAGG
rnacentral:rRNA from 1 species